UACGUAGGGGGCUAGCGUUGUCCGGAAUCAUUGGGCGUAAAGCGCGUGUAGGCGGCUGGGUAGGUCCGUUGUGAAAACUCGAGGCUCAACCUCGAGAGGUCGGUGGAAACCGUCUGGCUAGAGUCCGGAAGAGGAGAGUGGAAUUCCCGGUGUAGCGGUGAAAUGCGCAGAUAUCGGGAAGAACACCCGUGGCGAAGGCGGCUCUCUGGGACGGUACUGACGCUGAGACGCGAAAGCGUGGGGAGCGAACAGG
rnacentral:rRNA from 1 species